AUUUUGUGCAAUAGAUGAUUUUGUGUACAAAGUGGAAGCCCUGAAAAUCCACGAGUCAUACUGAUUCAUGGUUUCCCUUCACAGGCUUAUUCUUAUCGCAAAGUUCUACCAAUUCUCUCAAAGAAUUAUCAUGCUAUUGCUUUUGAUUGGCUAGGAUUUGGCUUUUCAGAUAAACCUCAACCCAAAUAUGGCUUUGACUACACUUUGAAUGAAUAUGUGUCAUCCUUGGAAUCUGUUAUCAAUGAACUCUCAAAAGAUAAGGUUACUCUUGUUGUCUAGGUACAUGCCAUCUUGAAUCUGGAUCUAUAACCAUACUUCCAAAGUUAUUUGUCAUCUGGCCUCUAAUUUUGACAAAUAUUAGCUUAUGCUGUUCUUUUAUAGGGAUACUUUU